rnacentral:lncRNA from 1 species
CGUGAAAAAAAAAAUUCGUCAAAAAACACAAAGACACAAAAAUUUACUACUGGUAAAAAUCAAAGGCAAGGAUCAAAAGGUGAGCUCAGAGGGUUGCUUGAUCUGCUCAUGGAAGGGACAAGUCCCUUCUCAUACAAGAGGUGUCAGAAGUAAGCAAUGCUCAUCACGGCCAGCCCCUUCUAACAUAACAAAAACAGUGAUCCAAAUGCAUAAACUAAACCAAAAUAGUGCGUGAUCGGUGCUCAGAUAACAGUUGCUGUGAUCUGCUCAGCGAAGCGCUUUUUGAGGCGCUUCUCGUACAAGAGGUGUCAGAAGUAAGCAAUCAUCACGGCACAAACAACACAGAGGGAGAGGAAAAAAUGGCAGCGAGAGAAGGCGAAAACAGAUAAACCUCGUAAGAAGAAACGAACAGCAGAUGGCGCCGCCGUGCCAUGAACGGCAUGGGGAGGCGGCGGCGGCGAAACCCUAGCGAUGAGAUUUCU